UACGUAGGGGGCAAGCGUUGUUCGGAAUUACUGGGCGUAAAGCGCGUGUAGGCGGCGACGCAAGUCGGAUGUGAAAGCCCAUGGCUCAACUAUGGAAGUGCACCCGAAACUGCGUCGCUAGAGUCUCGGAGAGGAAGGUGGAAUGCUUGGUGUAGAGGUGAAAUUCGUAGAUAUCAAGCGGAACACCGGUGGCGAAGGCGGCCUUCUGGACGAGUACUGACGCUGAGACGCGAAAGCGUGGGUAGCAAACAGG
rnacentral:rRNA from 1 species